CCUACGGGAGGCUGCAGUGGGGAAUAUUGCACAAUGGGCGCAAGCCUGAUGCAGCCAUGCCGCGUGUGUGAAGAAGGCCUUCGGGUUGUAAAGCACUUUCAGCGGGGAGGAAGGCGUUAAGGUUAAUAACCUUGUCGAUUGACGUUACCCGCAGAAGAAGCACCGGCUAACUCCGUGCCAGCAGCCGCGGUAAUACGGAGGGUGCAAGCGUUAAUCGGAAUUACUGGGUGUAAAGCGCACGCAGGCGGUCUGUCAAGUCGGAUGUGAAAUCCCCGGGCUCAACCUGGGAACUGCAUUCGAAACUGGCAGGCUAGAGUCUUGUAGAGGGGGAUAGAAUUCCAGGUGUAGCGGUGAAAUGCGUAGAGAUCUGGAGGAAUACCGGUGGCGAAGGCGGCCCCCUGGACAAAGACUGACGCUCAGGUGCGAAAGCGUGGGGAGCAAACAGGAUUAGAUACCCCGGUAGUC
rnacentral:rRNA from 1 species